UCUGAAUCUGCGUACGGCUCCGCAAAACAGCUGCAACUUACUGCACGACUCCCUCCGGUUUGGGGUUCGCCUCAUUCCGGCCGCAUAUAAGGAUAACCCUGGUAAUUCUGGGGCUAAUACAAGACAUACCAUCACCUCGGCCGUCUUCGGGCGCCGCUGAGCGUGCAACACACAUCUAAACCAGGCUCGGGAAAUAAAACUACACGAUCGCGAAAGAAUGCACGCUUGAACCUGCACGCUCCUUGUGGGCAACUGGUGCUGGAUAUCCCAUGGUUGUCGGACGGCUUGUGGGUGGUUCCCCUCGGGGUUCCCCUGCUUGUGCGGUACGGCCUCCUGACGGUCCGGCACUGGGCAGGUACAUGCUAAAGGCUUCUGACCUAUCAACUAGAAUGCGGUAAAAAGGGCUGCAGUGGUGGCAACGGUACAG
rnacentral:rRNA from 1 species